GGGCUCAAGGCGUCGUGCGCAUUUGACCCU
rnacentral:ribozyme from 1 species